rnacentral:rRNA from 8 species
GUUUGACCUCGGAUCAGGUAGGGAUACCCGCUGAACUUAAGCAUAUCAAUAAGCGGAGGA